rnacentral:rRNA from 1 species
AGGGUUUGAUCAUGGCUCAGGAUGAACGCUAGCUACAGGCUUAACACAUGCAAGUCGAGGGGCAGCAUGGUCUUAGCUUGCUAAGGCCGAUGGCGACCGGCGCACGGGUGAGUAACACGUAUCCAACCUGCCGUCUACUCUUGGACAGCCUUCUGAAAGGAAGAUUAAUACAAGAUGGCAUCAUGAGUCCACAUGUUCACAUGAUUAAAGGUAUUCCGGUAGACGAUGGGGAUGCGUUCCAUUAGAUAGUAGGCGGGGUAACGGCCCACCAAGUCUUCGAUGGAUAGGGGUUCUGAGAGGAAGGUCCCCCACAUUGGAACUGAGACACGGUCCAA